rnacentral:rRNA from 1 species
AUUGAACGCUGGCGGCAGGCCUAACACAUGCAAGUCGAGCGCGCGGGGGGCGGGUGAGUAAUGUCUGGGAAACUGCCCGAUGGAGGGGGAGAAAAACAGGAGACGCUAGCGAUUAUCCCACACCCUCAGCUGUGACCACAUGGGGUUUGCUGGUAGGUGGGGGAAAGGCGCACCUAGGGGACGAGCCCUAGCUGGUCUGAGAGGAUGAACAGCCACACUGGGACUGAGACACGGGCCAGACUCGUACGGGAGGCAGCAGUGGGGAAUAUUGCACAAUGGGCGCAAGCCUGAUGCAGCCAUGCCGCUUGUAUGAAGAAGGCCUUCGGGUUGUAAAGUAAUGUCAGCGGGGAGGCGUUACCCGCAGAAGAAGCACCGGCUAACUCCGUGCCAGCCGCCGCGGUAAUUC